rnacentral:rRNA from 1 species
CCGUAGCCCAAGAGAUCGGGAUAACACCUGGAAACAGAUGCUAAUACCGGAUAACAACAGAUGAUGCCUAUCAACUGUUUAAAAGAUGGUUCUGCUAUCACUCUUGGAUGGACCUGCGGUGCAUUAGCUAGUUGGUAGGGUAACGGCCUACCAAGGCGAUGAUGCAUAGCCGAGUUGAGAGACUGAUCGGCCACAAUUGGGAACUGAGACACGGCCCAAACUCCUACGGGAGGCAGCAGUC